rnacentral:lncRNA from 1 species
UUCCCUGUACCUAGGGUUUUGUUUCUCACGAUUUUCUGCUUUGUGUGGCGGCUAGGGUUCCGCCGCGAGCGGAGAGACAACUGCUUUGUUGUUGUUUAGGUCAGCGAUGGCGUACGAACGGGGAUUCAGCUGAUAUUGAAAAUAUCACCCUAUUUGAUCGAUUUGACUUACACCAGACUGAUGCAGGUCGAUUCAAACAGUUUGAGAGGUUUGACAUUGAAGGGGAUGAUAUUGACGGGGAUGAUGUGACACUAGAGAUAUUUCCUUCAAAUAACCAUUCCAUUGACCUACCAAACACUCUUAUAACCUCCCCUCUUAACAAGAUGAGCCUAAAAACGAAUGGAAAGGAGCAACGAGUCGAACCGGAAUAUCAAUUGACAGUCUGGCUCUUUUUCGACUUGACUUCCAUUUAAGAUUUUGUCAAAGUCAGCAACCAACUCCGUCAUGGAAACCGUGGAUCCGGAAAUAUCCGCAACGUGCAAAGACCUCGCGGAAGUAAAAAAAGGUAUUCCAACUCGCGCUUUUGUGCACCAAGCGUCAACCAUCCGAGCGACCAACAAUGCAUGAAGUAGUUCGCGUCCUCAGCAGCAUACUCCCCGCACGCAAACACAACCCCACGGGUCCCACCGUUCUACUCCCGUCUUCAAAAGUCAAGCUACAUGGACGAGUACGCCAACCUCAAGACGCCACAUCUCGUCAACUGCUCAUCCAUUAGCACCUCAGAUGCCCAACUGUUUAUGAAAUUUGGUAAGGUUAUAUCCCAAAACAUAGGGGUGUUCAAAAAAUCCGAAUCGGAUAAUCCGAAGUUUCAGAUUUGGAUUCGGAUGUGAUUUUUUAAAAAUUCGGAUAAUCGGAUUAUCCGAUAUCCGAAAACUUAAAAAAAAUAAAAAAUAUAUAGAUAAUAUAUCCCAUGUAUACACUAAUCAGUAUACACACCACACAAAAAUUAGGAUUUUGUAAUUUUAGUUCCGGCUCGUCCCUAAUCCCCUUCGCUGUUUCAAUCGGAAUGUGAUACGUCACCUACUCGCCCUCCAUUGCCGGUCGCCUUCAUCUCCUUCCUGGUCUCCGUCGCCCCCAAAGGUUGUGUAUCUUGAUAAAGAUAAGAGGAAAGCUAUUGUCCAUGUGUAAUGAACUUACCUAUAUGUACUAAAG